GUGCUCGCUUCAACAGCACAUAUGUUAAAAUUGGAAUGAUACAGAGAUUAGCAUGGCCCCUGCACAAGUACAUGUUGUAUAACUAUCACAAUUUCUUUCCUUUU